GGGGAAUAUUGCGCAAUGGGCGAAAGCCUGACGCAGCAACGCCGCGUGAGUGAUGAAGGCCUUCGGGUCGUAAAGCUCUGUCGGAGGGAACGAAUGUUUCUGAGGUUAACAGCCUCAGGAAGUGACGGUACCCUCAAAGGAAGCACCGGCUAACUCUGUGCCAGCAGCCGCGGUAAUACGUAGGGUGCGAGCGUUAAUCGGAAUUACUGGGCGUAAAGCGUGCGCAGGCGGUUCGUUAAGUUCGUUGUGAAAGCCCCGGGCUCAACCUGGGAAUGGCAAUGGAAACUGGCGGGCUUGAAUGCGGCAGAGGGGGGUGGAAUUCCGCGUGUAGCAGUGAAAUGCGUAGAGAUGCGGAGGAACACCGAUGGCGAAGGCAGCCCCCUGGGCCGACAUUGACGCUCAGGCACGAAAGCGUGGGGAGCAAA
rnacentral:rRNA from 1 species